AAGAGAAGCGAUCAAUUGCGAUGAGGAGGACGAUUUGAUGGCGAGGGAGGAGAGGAAAGGGUCUACUGGGGUGAGGGGGGAGUGACCGGCGGUGGGAGAAGAAAAGAGAUUUGUCAGAUCCAUGGAAAAGGAGGAAAAUCGGAAACAAAGGAGGAGGGGUGUUGUCUGGGAGUGAUAAAGAGGGAAAAGUGGUCAAAGAUA
rnacentral:lncRNA from 1 species